rnacentral:rRNA from 1 species
UACGUAGGGUGCGAGCGUUGUCCGGAAUUAUUGGGCGUAAAGAGCUCGUAGGCGGUGUGUCACGUCGGCCGUGAAAACCUGCAGCUUAACUGUGGGCGUGCGGUCGAUACGGGCAUCACUGGAGUUCGGCAGGGGAGACUGGAAUUCCUGGUGUAGCGGUGAAAUGCGCAGAUAUCAGGAGGAACACCGAUGGCGAAGGCAGGUCUCUGGGCAUUAACUGACGUGAGGAGCGAAAGCAUGGGGGAGCGAACAGG